AUUGAACGCUGGCGGCAGGCCUAACACAUGCAAGUCGAGCGGAUGAGAAGAGCUUGCUCUUCGAUUCAGCGGCGGACGGUUGAGUAAUGCCGAGGAAUCUGCCUGGUAGUGGGGGACUACGUCUCGAAAGGAACGCUAAUACCUCAUACGUCCUAUGGUAGAAAGCAGAUGACCUGCGGGCCGUGCGCUAUGAUAUGAGCCUAGGUCGGAUUAGCUAGUUGGUGAGGUAAUGGCUCACCAAGGCGACGAUCCGUACAGUGUACACUGGUCUUAGAGGAUGAUCAGUCACACUGGAACUGAGACACGGUCCAGACUCCUACGGGAGGCAGCAGUGGGGAAUAUUGGACAAGGGGCGAAAGCCUGAUCCAGCCAUGCCGCGUGUGUGAAGAAGGUCUUCGGAUUGUAAAGCACUUUAAGUUGGGAGGAAGGGCAGUAAGUUAAUACCUUGCUGUUUUGACGUUACCGACAGAAUAAGCACCGGCUAACUCUGUGCCAGCCGCCGCCGUAA
rnacentral:rRNA from 1 species